ACGCACGGGGGCGCCGCUGGGCCCGCGCAGCUACAGGAGUUGCCGAGCAGCAGAGGAGGCGCUCACUUCCGCGUCGGGCCGGGCGGCGUCCGGCGGCGGUGGCGCCCACGGCCAGGCGGGCCGCAGAGGGGGACCGAGACCACAUUGUUUUGCAGUUUCUGAAAGUAUUUCAAGGCAGAACCUUGGGUGUUGAAGAGAGUGAUGGAAGGUCACAAGGCAGAAGAAGAGGUGUUAGAUAUUCUCCGACUGAACGUGGGUGGCUGCAUUUACACAGCCAGGCGGGAGUCCUUGUGCCGCUUUAAGGAUUCAAUGCUGGCAUCCAUGUUCAGUGGUCGCUUCCCUUUAAAAACAGAUGAAUCAGGAGCUUGUGUUAUUGACCGUGAUGGACAUCUAUUUAAAUACCUUUUGGAUUAUCUUCAUGGAGAAGUUCACAUUCCCACAGAGGAGCAAACCCGGGUUGCUCUGCAGGAAGAAGCUGAUUAUUUUGGCAUCCCUUAUCCAUACAGCCUGUCUGACCACUUGGCCAAUGAAAUGGAGACAUAUUCUUUAAGGUCAAAUAUAGAACUUAAAAAGGCUUUAACAGACUUCUGUGAUUCGUAUGGUUUAGUAUGCAAUAAACCAACAGUUUGGGUUCUCCACUAUCUUAACACAUCUGGUGCAAGCUGUGAGAGUAGAAUUAUUGGUGUAUAUUCCACAAAAACUGAUGGAACAGAUGCUAUUGAUAAACAGCUGGGAGGAAGAAUUCACAGUAAAAGCAUUUUUAAAAGGGAGGCGGGAAAUAAUGUUCAGUACAUUUGGAGCUAUUAUUCAGUAGCAGAAUUGAAGAAAAUGAUGGAUGCCUUUGAUGCCUGGGAAGGAAAAGGUGUUAGCUACUGGCGGGUGCCUCAUGAGCUGAUAGAAUGCUGGACUCUGGAAGAGCGCCCUUUACUUGGAAGCCUGAGUCACAUGGCUCCAAUUCGAAAGAGGCGACUAAUAGCAGUCAAUGACGAGGAAGAAGAAGGCGCGAACUGUAAGACCGGACCUAAGCCAGUCCGAUUUUUGGGUCCAUCCACCAGCACCCAAAUUAAGGUCAAGAACUCUGCUUCCGUCAGGGUGUCUCCGGCCAGUGCCCCCCAACCCUGGCCCCGGGCAGCGGCAACCCUGGCUGCAGGAGGAAGGGCGGCUCGGCGCUCUGCCCAGUCGAAAGCGCCAACCCCGGUGGGGACCGGGCUGCCCGGGCAUCCCCAGGCUGCACAGGGGCCUGGGGCUGCUGAGAACGGGGCCGCGCACCUACCUCCGGCUAAGGUUCUGCUCUCGGACAAGACGGCCACCCCGCACCGAGUGAUCAAGCUGAAACGGACUCCGCUGUGCGCCGCCGGGUCUCCGCUGCCUGCCUGCACCACACCCAGGCCGGCGGGUCCCCCGGAUCCGCCCCCUGACGCCCUCAGCCCGCGGGGCGCGUGGACCGGGAACGGGCAGGACCAGACCGAGUGAUGGAAACGGGGACUCGGGAUGUCCCAUUUGCCUCUCCAAGCUUCCAGCCCGUUAACACAAAUAAGCAGCUCUCUUUCCCCAUACUGUCCAGAGCCCUUGGAACCUCCAGAUCGGGGUUUUCAGCUGUGACACUGUUGCCAUUUUUGGACUGGAUAAUUCUUUAUUGAGGAGGACUGUACUGUGCAUUGGGAUGUUGAGCAGCACCCUGCCCCAGUUGUGAUGAUCAAAAUGUUCUCAGAAUUUGCCAGAUGUCUCCUGGGCUUGGAGGGUGGACGCAAAACUGAUUACCCCAAGUUGAGAACCAUUGCAAUAGGUGAAUAACUUAACCUGAGCAAAAUACUGGUAGCUGCCUCUCCUAAUUGGGAGGUGUGGAUGAGUAAGGGAACUUUAGAGCUGUCAAACACUGGCAGGAAUGGAGCCAUGGGAAUUGACGGGGAGAAUAAUAAAGGAAGGCUGUCCCAGGCCUGCCAAUUAAAAAAUUCGAUCCUGUUAGUUCUCACAUUUCUGGCUUUAGUAUAAUAUUAGAGACAUUUUUGUUUGCUGUUAUAACCAAGCAACUAUUAAUAUCUAAUAAAAACUAAGAUGUAUCCUCGUAAGCCCUUUAUAUGUUAACUUAAUUGAAUACACCAACCCUGUGAUGUAGGUGUCUUCUUAGUAUCUCCAUUUUUCAGAUGGGGAAACUGAAGCCCAGAAGGGUUUGGUAAACUGUGUUGCAUCUAGCAGGAUUCACAUGCAUGUCACAUGCAGGCCUUUCAGCUCUAUUCUAGGCCUCUUCUUACAGGAGCUUGACAUUGCCUCCAGAGAUGAGCUAGGUGACUUAGAGCACCUGUGUGUCCCGAAGCUAUGAGACAUGUACCAGGCACUCCUGCAGUGCCUUCUAAGGGGAUGCGUGUGCUGUGCCUAGUCGCUCAGUCGUGUCUGACUCUGUGUGACCCCGUGGACUGUAGCCCGCCAGGCUCCUCUGUCCAUGGAAUUCUCCAGGCAAGAAUACUGGAGUGGAUAGCCUGUCCCUUCUCCAGUGGAUCUUCUUGACCCAGGAGUCAAACUGGGGUCUCCUGCGUUUCGGGCGGAUUCUUUACCAGCUGAGCUGGUAAGCCGUUUUAAGGGUAUACCAGGGAUCAACUCUCUGCCUCUUGAUUUCACAUCUACUCUUCCUUGUCCUGUUUGUGAUCCUAGAGCUGGGCCCCAUAAGCACUUCCCUUUAGCCAGCUGACUUUGCCACUGGAGGGACCCUGAAGAAGAGGAGGCUUUGUUCCGCGAGUGUCCCUGUGUUCCUGUUCCUGCAACGAGUGCUCAGCUGGGGGUGGGAAACCCACGGGCCCACGUUUCAGCCACAGCAGCUUCCAGUCCCACAGGUCUCCUUGCUGGCUCCACAGCUAAUUCAACAAUACUUCCUGCAGGAAGCUUCCUGGCUGGUGCCCAGCAGGAUUCCCAGUGAAUUCGGCAGCAUCCCUGGGCUUGGACCCCUGGUGAGUCGACCAGCCUGUCCGGGGGAAGUUUCUGGUUCUCCGGUGCCCUGUGGGGAGCUUCUCUCUUGUUAGCACUUCAGGGAGCUUCUUGACUUCUACUGGAGCCAUAGCCAUACCCUCCCCAACACGGUCAGAAUCUCAGCCUCGGGAGCAGGGCUGGUGGGUGGUGGUGGGGAGCAAGCGCUCACCACCUUGAUCCUUUCGUCUGCCUCAAGCUCUAACAGUAACCAUCCCAGUGUCUGCUAUUCCUGUUUUCUUUAGUAGCUACGCCCAUUACUAUUUAUAACUUCAUAUACAUUUUUCUCUCUAUAAAGCUUCCCCAUAUAAAUUUAUAAAGCGUCUCCAUUCAAAUUACUCUGUGGUUACUGUCUCUGUACAAAGUGCCAGGCAUUAUUCCAAGUACUUUGCAAAUCUUAACUUAUUCAAUCCGUGUAGCAACCCUUCAAGGUAGGUAUGGUUAUUAGUCACAUUUACCUGUGGAGAAAUGUGUCCACAUUGACACAGCCAGGAGGUGGUGGGACCCAGAUAUGAAUCCAGAUAGCCUGGCCCCAGGGCUGGGACUUCAGCUGCUGCUCUCUUCCCAUCUUCUCCAGAAUUGACAGACUGGAUUAUUUUGCACAAGUCAUUUGCAUUCCAGAAUUCUCUAGCGCAUUAGAGUUGGUCAUUCUUUCAUAGUUGCUCUCUCUUCCUUGUAUUUAUUGAGUACCUACUAUGUGCCAGGUCUUCCCUUGUAGCUCAGAUGGUAAAGAAUCUGCCUGCAGAUGGAGGAGACCGGGUUCGAUCCCUGGGUUGGGAAGAUCCGCUGGAGGAGGAAAUGGCAACCCACUCCAGUAUUCUUGUCUGGAGAAUCCCAUGGACAGAGGAGCCUGGUGGUCAACAGUCCAUGGGGUCGCAAGAGUUGGACACGACAAAGUGACUAACCCACCACUAUGUGCCGGCACUAGCAGAGAAAUGAUGGUGUUAUUGGCCAGCUUAAUGGUAAUUUACGAAAAGUAUGUGUUCUCCCAAAAGACUAGGAAGAGAUAAAUCUAACUCAAACUUAAGUUAAAAAUAAAGUAGUUUUCUGUCCUUGACAGGAAGUCUUUUUUAAACUUAUUUUCUGUAGAAGUGUCUUUGGUCAUGGUUGCAAUCAUGGUUCUAAAAUGCAUUUUUUUUUUUUUUUGCCAGAAAUCUAUGCACUCUCUCAGG